rnacentral:misc_RNA from 3 species
AACGGAUAAGUAGCAUCUGGCUCCUUCCAGAAAGUCUGCGGUCGCUGUGAGCAGAUAGGAAAAAGUUGUGAAAUUCUACCGUUAUGAAAUUAUCAAAAUACAAUCAAGUGCACAGAAUGUGAAGCUGGAUGGAACCGCGGUAAAUAUCGCUCCAGCAUCUCUCAUUCUGUGCUUUUUUAUUCUAAA